CAAAAUUUUUAUUUCUGGAAAAGGCAACAACAAGAACAAGAUGGUGGGUGUUUGGGUGAGGUGAGAAGAAGACCGGCGGAUGGAGUCAAACUCGAGGUUUGAUAGUGAAGACUCUGGAUUUAAUUGGAGGCCUUCUUUUUCUCACAAGGUUCACCAAAUCCACCACUCGUUGGGACCACGCUAAAAUUAUUGCUCGUUCUCUUAGCGGCGAAAAGGCUCUUCCUCUUUUUUUCAUUGAAAUUUUGAAGCUUUUCCAUUACUUAUAUUUCAUUUCAUCUCAAUUUCAGUUUUUCAAUGGUAGUUCUCGCAGGAGCAAGCCUCUAGAAAUCCAGAUAGUUACUUCAACAUCAGAGCACUUGCUUGCCCUGCAACAGAGUUGGUGGAUGUGUCAAAAGUUUUAUAUUCAGAACAGGUUUUUGGUUCAAUCUUUCCUGUUUCAAAAUCUUCGGAAUAUUCACCAAUUUAGUGAUCAUCACUUUUUAUGGACUAGGCAUUUUGGCGGACUCCCCAAAAACCUUUCCGGCAGGUAAUCGGUUUUGCGGAACGAUAGACGAUGCACCGGACACACAAGGAUGGAAGUUUUGAUUACAUUAUAGCUUUUAUUCUAAACCUGUUUCCUUUGAUCACAUAACACUUUUUGGUGGAAUGCCUUUACCUCAUACGAUGCUGACUGCCUUUUGGUUGCAGAGGAUAUAUAUGGUGAAACCUUGUCCAAAAGAUUUGAAGUGCGAUGUUGAGGUAAGUACUUGUGCAAUUAGAGAUGCGGAUGAAUACUAGAAUUUCUGUGAUCGUCCAAGGGACCAACGCCCGCUACCUGAAGAAGUUAUCGGUAAUGGAGCAACAUACUGCACUUCAGAACUCUCGGUUUUGAAGAACAAUGAGAUACAUACCUGGGAUAGGGGUUACGACGGCGAUGGAAAUCAGGUUUGGGGAGCGAAGGAAGGUCCUUAUGAGUUCGAGCCUGCACCGUUUACACCUCGGAAUUUUGCGCCGUCGCAGACGUUGGAGAAGAGGAUAGAGAGAUCAUUGUGUUGGAAGAAUGAUUGAUGGUUUACAUAUAUUCUUAAUCUGUAAAAUUUCAACUCCUUUACGUAAGCUUGAGUGAAGUUCCUUGGCUUUGCCCUUUAGAGGGAUCAUGCAGUGGACGAUAUGGGCUGAGAUUAUUUGAUUUCAUUCGACCGCUCAAAAUUCCCAGAAUUUUACUGCAAACCCUGUAGGAUUCGCAGGCUUUCUUAAUUACAUUCAACCACGUCCACGAUUGUUGCAGACCUGCAUUAA